rnacentral:rRNA from 1 species
UACGAAGGGGGCUAGCGUUGUUCGGAUUUACUGGGAGUAAAGCGCACGUAGGCGGAUUGUUAAGUCAGGGGUGAAAUCCCGGAGCUCAACUCCGGAACUGCCUUUGAUACUGGCAAUCUUGAGACUGGAAGAGGUUAGUGGAAUUCCCAGUGUAGAGGUGAAAUUCGUAGAUAUUGGGAAGAACACCAGUGGCGAAGGCGGCUAACUGGUCCAGUACUGACGCUGAGGUGCGAAAGCGUGGGGAGCAAACAGG